UGGGACCCAUUUGUUAAAUUACCAAUCAUAUGCAAGAAUAAGAGUUUAGUUGGCAAAGUGGGUCACAUUCAAGCUAGAACUAGUUGUUGCUUUUCAUUGGAGAUGCUCUAAUAUUAAUGAAAGUAUCCACUAAGCCAAUAUAAUCUUUGUAAUAUUUUACUCAAAACAUAAGCUAAUAGAUGACAAUAAAUAAGUAGGAAAAAAAAGGAUCACAUUAUGAAAUGCGAGUCGAGACAAAUUUUAAACGAGUCCAUGUAGCUAUUUUUUGUUGCAUACAUAUCGAUCAAAACUCAUAAUUGGUCAAAUUUUCUCUCUCGUCAAAUAAAAUAUUUCAAGUAUAAACGUCAAAUAGGAACAGGGGAAUAAUAUCAAACAAUGCAAAAACUACCCCUUUUAUAUUUCUUCGUCUCUUCACAUUUUAUGCAAGUGGCAGCACCCAAAAUAAUACAUUUUCUGUAAGUGGGCUGAAGCUGAAUGGGAAUGAAAACAUACAAGGCCCAUAAACGAGGACAAAUUAAAUACUCUGCCAAUAACCCAAGUCCCAAGCAUUUGGGCUGGCAUAUCUCAUUUGAGCUUUAUUUUGGAACACCAUUAGGAUCGAUUAAUGGCAUAGAGUUUAUUAAUCACAAUUCACUCUUAUCUUAUGGUAAACUCAUAUUGCAAGAGUAAAUAAAAAACAAAUUACUAUUAUUACAUCUAAUAAUAUCAAGUAAUAGGUAAAGAACUUAUUCUAAAGAAAAUUUGAUGUCAAUUGUAUUCAACAAAAAAAAAAUUACUUACAUAUAUAGCGAAAUCCAUUAGUUAAAUAAUGUUUGCAUCAAUUUUAUAAGUGAAAGUAUUGGGUCAGACCUGACCGUCUGACCCAAUACUUUUCGUCGGACGGCAAGUUGACGACGACAUCAACAACGUACCUCUGCGACUGCAACAACAAACAAAUCUGAACAAAGAAAGAGGAUGAGUGAAUAAAAAAAAAUCAUGUUGAAGAAAAAAGAGAAGCACAGAAGAAGCAAGUCCCAGUCUCCCGCGAACGCUUUCAAAGGCCACCAGUUGAAGAAUUCAUCAAUCUCUCUCCUCUUGUCUAGAUUAAAUGAUUUUGAUGGCCUUUUCGAGUUGCACGGCCUAUAUUAGUGUAUAUGAUAUGACUAGAAGUUGAUGCAAUUAUUCGACUAUAUCUAAUAAUAUAAGUAUUAUUCCCUUUACAUCAAUAAAUGGCAAAAGAUUUUGAUGGAAAGAAUUCUUCAUGAAGUUCGACAACAUGGCCAGUUGCGAGAUCACACCUGACUCUUCUUCUUCAUCUUCUUCAUUAAACAAAAUGGUUGUGGUGGUCACGAGUCUGUGAUUAUGAGAUAUACAAUCUACAGGCUUUUUUGGAAGCCCGGAGCAACUUAGGUGGAGUUGGUGCGCUUUGGAGCAGGGUUGGAAGUCUACGUAUCUCAUACAAGGUCUAAGGAGCCCAAGAUCGGCAUAUUUGAAGGGUUUAAGUAAGAAAAUAGUUAAUGAAGGGCCAGGACAAUGGACGAGUCCUGAUAAAACUAUAUCAGAUAUAGGCAACUUUGCCUAUAUCAGGGGCAAUAUUGUCAUUUUAAAUGAUUUAGUAGGAUGGAAUGCAAAAGCAUAGGAAUGGGGUAUUCCCUUUCAUUCCAUAAGUUAGUUUAUUUAAUAAUAAUUUUAUCUCUCUCCUCAACCUAACUCCUCAACCUCAAUCAUCAUCCCACCCACCGGAACCGGAAGGUUUCAAGCCGGAAUUCGCCAGAAAAUUCGCCGGAAAGAGGCUUAACUGUGUUUUUCGUGAAUUGAAGCCGACAGUUUAAUGCAAGUCAGGGGUGGUGGAGGAUGACAUGUUCGUUGUAUUUUGUGCGUCGGAUUGCUUUCUUUUGUAACGAUCUAAUGCAAGUGUAAUUUUAAGUACCUCACUUAGCAUUAUAAUGGUUGUAUGGAUAAUUUUAAGUACUUUGUAUGAUUAUGGUUUUAUGAAUAUGUGAACUAAUCAUUUUGUAUAUAAAAUGAAGCAUCAUAUUGUGUUUAUCGUUUC